UACGGAGGGAGCUAGCGUUGUUCGGAAUUACUGGGCGUAAAGAGUACGUAGGCGGUGAUUCAAGUCAGAGGUGAAAGCCUGGAGCUCAACUCCAGAACUGCCUUUGAAACUAGAUCGCUAGAAUUGUGGAGAGGUUAGUGGAAUUCCGAGUGUAGAGGUGAAAUUCGUAGAUAUUCGGAAGAACACCAGUGGCGAAGGCGACUAACUGGACACAUAUUGACGCUGAGGUACGAAAGCGUGGGGAGCAAACAGGAUUAG
rnacentral:rRNA from 1 species